GUCGAGAAUCUUCCGCAAUGCGCGAAAGCGUGACGGAGCGACACCGCGUGAUGGAUGAAGUCCUUCGGGGCGUAAACAUCUUUUAUAAAGGAGGAAAUUUUUGACGUUACUUUAUGAAUAAGGGGCUCCCAAUCUCGUGCCAGCAGGAGCGGUAAUACGAGAGCCUCAAGCGUUAUCCGGAAUCAUUGGGCGUAAAGGGUGCGUAGGUGGUUUGAUUAGUCUCCCGUUAAAACUUCGAGCUUAACUCGAAAAGAGCGGGGGAAACGGUCAAACUAGAGUAUGUGAGAGGUGUGUGGAACUCGUGGUGUAGGGGUGAAAUCCGUUGAUAUCAUGGGGAACACCAAAAGCGAAGGCAGCACACUGGCACAUCACUGACACUGGGGCACGAAACCUAAGGUAGCGAAUGGGAUUAGAAACCCGUGUAGUCC
rnacentral:rRNA from 1 species